rnacentral:rRNA from 1 species
AUGCAUCUCCAUCUGGACUGUUAUUGUUUUUUCUCUACUGUAAUCUCGUCAGAUCUGAUGUUACUUGAAACCUUCUGUUAUUAUCCAAUUUAUUUUGUGCAUUACAAAGCCUUGUUGUGCCCAUGUUUGCGUUUGUCUUCGCUGUAUUUUUCAAUGACCAGGAUCAGCUUCAUUUAUUUUAGGUUUAGGGGCCAAAAUUGUUUAAUAUAUGUGUCACUACUUGUUUUGUUCUGCACUUUAUUUGUAAAGAUUAAAACUUUUCCAUUCAUAGUGGGCGUGUUUCAAAACAGGUUGAUUUCUACUCAGCCCAGAUUGACUACUUGCACUUGUCUGGCAUGGUGA